rnacentral:misc_RNA from 1 species
GUUAUUGCCAGGGUUUUUUAUUUUAUACUUUAAAUCUUGAAUUUAUUUUUUAUGUUUUUUAAAUGUUCAUUUUUUUGAAUGUUUGAUUUAAAAAAAAUAUAAAAAAUAAAAUAGAUAUUGACAUGGAUUAAACAAAGAUAUAUAUUAUUCUAUGUUGCAUAAACAAAUUGGCAAAGUAGAGAUGGAAGAUAAAAAUAUGGUCAAAGUAAUAAGAGUCUAUGGUGAAUGCCUAGGAGCUUUAAGGCGAAGAAGGUCGA